rnacentral:rRNA from 1 species
UACGUAGGGGGCAAGCGUUAUUCGGAUUCACUGGGCGUAAAGGGUGCGCAGGCGGUUGGGUGUGUCAGAUGUGAAAUCCCGAGGCUCAACCUCGGAACUGCGUCUGAAACUACUCGACUAGAGUACUGGAGAGGGUAACGGAAUUCACGGUGUAGCAGUGAAAUGCGUAGAUAUCGUGAGGAACACCAGAGGCGAAGGCGGUUACCUGGACAGUUACUGACGCUCAGGCACGAAAGCAUGGGGAGCAAAAGGG